rnacentral:rRNA from 1 species
CGAAACCGAUAGCGAACAAGUACCGUGAGGGAAAGUUGAAAAGUACUCUGAAUAGAGAGUUAAAUAGUACGUGAAACCGCUUAGGGGUUAAGCCCGAUGAACCCGAAUAUCUGAUGUGAGAAAUUCAAUACUAUUUAUGGAUAGUAUGCACUUUUCUCAUAGUAAGACAUUGUAAUCUAUUGAUGGUAUAUCUUUUUCAUUAUAAGGAAAAGAUGAUUUAACAUACGAACAAAAUGUAUAUGUUUAUUCUAUCAGUGAUGUGUUUACAUAUCAUAUGAAUAAGAUCGUUUUGUUUCUGUUUAAAUAGUUGAUAGAUUUUAACUGAAUCAUGCUUGCAAUUUAUUUUGCGUUUCGUAUUAUUGAUCAUUGCGAUUGGUGAUAGCAGAAAUGGCAUGCAUUCGAUUAACAAUGCGAUAGAUUUGGGAUACUUUCAGGACCCGUCUUGA